CCUUUCUCUUUCAUCAGAGUUUUGGGCUGCCCCUGCCAGGCGGGGGUGAAGGGCAGGUCAGGCAGCGGGACUGCGAUCCCUCCCCAUCUCAUCAGCCGAAUCCCCCUCCUCCCCGGGCAGCUGAUCAGACCCAGCAGCGAUGGGGUAGACCGAAACAACGGGAAGAAUUUGGUCAGGCUGUGCAUUUCUCCUUCAGGUGGGGUCACCCAGACGCCGUGGAAGGAGAGCCGCAGGGAUGCGUUUUGGCAGGCGCCCACACUUUUUUCUCCUUCCCGUGCCCCAGAAGGGAAAGCGAUGAAUUCUGCCAAAGAUGCGUGCUUGGAUGUGAGAUGAUUUAGCCAAAGAGAAAAUAACUGGAUGGCUGGAAGAAGGAGCAUUUGAUAGGAAAUAAUCUUGGAGCGCAGCUCUCUGACAUGAUGGUGUGCAAGGUGCCCAGCUUCCUGAGAUGACCAUGCUCCAUGAAAUGCCAAUGGGGAAAAUAACUUCCAGUGGCAACGACAAAGGACAAUAAAGACAACCAGAUCACACAGAAUCCAAUGCAAGAGAGACUGCAGAGUGGGCUGGGUGCUCCCUUCUGCUCCUCUGCACCUGAUCAAGAAAUGGUUUCAGCAUCGAUACACGUAAAGUUCCUCCUGUUCAGUUUCAGACUCUGACUAGGUGCUGAGGCAAUGAGUCGAGCAUUUGGCUGGUGUAAAUCAGUGCAACUCAACUGACUUGGUCGUGUUGUACCUGUAGAUGUGUUGCUUCUUCCUCCACCGGGAAGAUGUCGGCCACUCCCCCACUGCAAGGCAAGAGUGCGGGCAGCUUCUCCACGCCGAUGCUGUAGGACCACAGCAGUGAGUGAUACCUGAGCAAAAACUCACACCUCCUUGCUCAUCACUUCAUAGUAUCUGGUCUGCAGCCCGCAAGUGAAACUACAGCUCCCAACACCUGGGAUCUGUGCCUGACUGGCUGCCUACUACCUUUGGGCAUGUCGCUUCUCCCGUCUCUGCCUCAGCUUCCCCGACUGUACGACGCUUUAUGAAGGACUUUGAAUAUCACUGAUUAAAAAGCAUUCAAUGAGAUCGUCUUGUCCUUCUGGCCUGAUGUACAUUAUAUGGCCACUGUGGCUGGGAAUAAACAUCCCUCUGUUUCCCUCGUUUCACAGUGACACCCGGUUCCCAGGAUUAUCUCCCCCCUUGUCUGUGACAACACUGGAGAAAAAAAACCUCAAAGAUGUUCACGGCGUGGAUGUCGGGGCUGACACAUGGACAUCACGUCACUGUUUGUGUCCAUUCAUCUCUCGUUAACAGCUUACCGUAGAUCAAAACCCUUGCUUUGGAUUUAUUAUGUGCAAUAAAAGAAGAUUUGCUGGACCCCACGGUGCCCAUGUGCCCGGGAAGUGCUGGGCUGUGGGUGCCAGCACUGCCGGGCCAGGGGGGCCAUGCUGCGCAGGGAGCCCAGUCCUGGGUGAGGGCGAGGAUGAAGGUGAGGGCAUGUUUGAAGGCUUUGGGCGAGGAGGACAGUUUUGGUGAGGUUGCAUCCCCCUCUGCUGGAACAUCCAAGCAAAGGCAGAAGAACACCCGCCGACCAGGGAGAAAACUGAGGUGAGAAAAAAAGAAAAUAAAUGUGUAAAGAAAGCAAAUGAGCCCCGGUCCCCUGGGGUCCGCAGGGGACGUCGCGGGCAGCCAGCCUCAUCUGUAGCUGGGGGUUCGUCCGCUGCUGGCCGCGACGAGAGGGCUCUUGUCGGGGACGAUCAGGCCCUCUGUGGAAAUAGGGACCAUGUCUUGUUUGUGCCAGGCAUAAUCCUGCUCCCCGUCACGGGAAUGGGCGAGUGGGGCAGGGGCAGCGAUGCCGGCUGCUGGCAAAUAUGCACCGCGGCUGGUCAGCAAGAGGGGAGAUGGACGGAGAGGAGCUGGGCACUGGGCGUCCCCGUGGGAUGGACCUGCUCAGGGGUCUGGGACACCGCGCUGGGUGACACCGUGGGUCAGGCAGGUCCUGACUACGUGGCGGGCUCUGACAGCAGGCAGAAUAUAGUAAGUGUAGCUAAGCAGAAUUGCACAGACAAAGACAGUGCUUUGAUGCUGGAUUCAAAGCUGCUUCGUAGCCCAGGUGGGGCCAAGGGGCCGUGGCUGAUGGGUACUGAGGUGCAAAACACCUUGGUGGGACUUAAAUACGUAAGGAAACCUGAACCGUAGGCACCUAAAU